CACGAACGCUGGCGGCAGGCUUAACACAUGCAAGUCGAGCGCCCCGCAAGGGGAGCGGCAGACGGGUGAGUAACGCGUGGGAAUCUACCCAUCUCUACGGAAUAACGCAUGGAAACGUGUGCUAAUACCGUAUACGUCCUUCGGGAGAAAGAUUUAUCGGAGAUGGAUGAGCCCGCGUUGGAUUAGCUAGUUGGUGGGGUAAAGGCCUACCAAGGCGACGAUCCAUAGCUGGUCUGAGAGGAUGAUCAGCCACACUGGGACUGAGACACGGCCCAGACUCCUACGGGAGGCAGCAGUGGGGAAUAUUGGACAACGGGCGCAAGCCUGAUCCAGCCAUGCCGCGUGAGUGAUGAAGGCCCUAGGGUUGUAAAGCUCUUUCACCGGUGAAGAUAAUGACGGUAACCGGAGAAGAAGCCCCGGCUAACUUCGUGCCAGCCGCCGCAGUAA
rnacentral:rRNA from 1 species